GACGAACGCUGGCGGCGUGCUUAACACAUGCAAGUCGAACGCUGAAGCUCAGCUUGCUGGGUGGAUGAGUGGCGAACGGGUGAGUAACACGUGAGUAACCUGCCCUCUUCUUUGGGAUAACGCCCGGAAACGGGUGCUAAUACUGGAUAUUCACUGAUUCUCGCAUGGGGGUUGGUGGAAAGGUUUUUUCUGGUGGGGGAUGGGCUCGCGGCCUAUCAGCUUGUUGGUGGGGUGAUGGCCUACCAAGGCUUUGACGGGUAGCCGGCCUGAGAGGGUGACCGGUGACAUUGGGACUGAGAUACGGCCCAGACUCCUACGGGAGGCAGCAGUGGGGAAUAUUGCACAAGGGGAGAAAGCCUGAUGCAGCGACGCCGCGUGAGGGAUGGAGGCCUUCGGGUUGUAAACCUCUUUCGCUCAUGGUCAAGCCGCAGCUUUGGGUUGUGGUGAGGGUAGUGGGUAAAGAAGCGCCGGCUAACUACGUG
rnacentral:rRNA from 1 species